rnacentral:ribozyme from 16 species
UAUUAUUCUUUUUUUUUAUAUUAUUUUUUCUAUCAUUAUUAUUAUCGUCUGCUAAUUCGG